GACGAACGCUGGCGGCGUGCUUAACACAUGCAAGUCGAACGAUGAAGAAGAGAAACGCGAACUUCGGUCCAAAUUUCACUUCGGAUUAGUGGCAGACGGGUGAGUAACGCGUGAGCAACCUACCUCUUACAAAGGGAUAGCCUCGGGAAACCGUGAUUAAUACCAUAUGACACAUUCAUAAGGCAUCUUAAGAAUGUUAAAGCUACGGCGGUAAGAGAUGGGCUCGCGUCCCAUUAGCUAGUUGGUGAGGUAACGGCCCACCAAGGCGACGAUGGGUAACCGGCCUGAGAGGGUGAACGGUCACAUUGGAACUGAGACACGGUCCAAACUCCUACGGGAGGCAGCAGUGGGGAAUAUUGCACAAUGGAGGGAACUCUGAUGCAGCGACGCCGCGUGAGCGAUGAAGGAAUUCGUUUCGUAAAGCUCUGUUCUAUGGGAAGAAAAGGACUGUACCAUAGGAGAAAGCCCCGGCUAAAUACGUG
rnacentral:rRNA from 1 species